CGAAGUUCAAGGCGAAAUCCUUUGAACGGAGCCAUGGGCAAAGCCACGGGACAAAACUAAAUAUCUUGUCAGCCGGGUUGCCAGA
rnacentral:ncRNA from 1 species